GUGGGUUUAUGUCAUCAUGAUCUGAUAGAAGUCGUGGCUAUACAACUAUAAAAGGUGGCAGAGGGCUUAAUAACAAUCACAUUUGGCUUACAAUCUAAUUUAAUUAAAUUAUCUUUUUUUAUUUUUCUAUACAUUCUGCUACAUUUUGAGUAAACCAUACAUUUACAACAUUCACAUGGGGAAAACAUCCACAUCCUGACCAAGCCUAGCUCAAGAUCUGAAAUGGGUCCACAGAGAGUGGCUGUUGCUGCCCACUGCACCAGCAGCAUAGAAGGAAGUGGUGCCAAAUAAAAUAGAAAAAAAAAAAUCCCUGUAAUGCAAACAAUCAAAGUAGUGCAAUUAUCAAGUAAAAAAAACAAAAGCAACCAAGUACAAUUAACGUAGUUUUUUUUUUUUUUUUUAAGUUGGCUACAAUUAGAAAAGUAAGACAUGUUGGAAAUAUAACAAACAUAGUAUAAGUCACACAUCUUUACCUGAGAUAAAUAUUCUUGAUUGUUGUUUAACAACCAUCAUGUGACAAAUAAAGUGCAAAAAUUAAGAUGGGAGUGAACAGAACUAGGAAAAAAAAGUGACCACUUAUCCCACAAUCUUUUGCCUAAAUCAACCAUGUUGAUUCAUAAUAAUUGUAAACAUGACUUGAGGAAUAUUAACAUCAAGUGAAUUUUGUCUUAAAUUCUUAAUGUCCUCUCCUGUUUGAAACUGACACAGAAUUUCCAAGCUUCAACAUAAUGAGACAAAGAAAUUUCCUCUGGGAACAGCUCCUCCACAUCAGGGGGAACAUCCAUGUCUUUGCGCUCCAUGUAGGACACCAGCGUGUCUUUUAGACUAGAGAAAAGUAGAAAAGCACACAUUUAAAUCAUUUCUGUAGUAAUAAGAAGUUAAAUUAUGUAAUGCCAUCUUACCCCCACUCAGGUUUGAAGGUGUCUGUAGCCCUGGGCUUGCUGAGCAGUAGUAUCAGGAACUCAUGCAUCUCCAGCAGGAAAGAGUCAGCACUGUUUUUGGAGAAGAAGCCAGUCAGCAGCCUGCGCUCGUCCACUCCGAGAUCCUGCUUGUACUCCUCAGAAACAUCUCCAAAUGGAUCCUACAACAACAAACAAAUCAAUAAUUCACCAAUACCCAC
ensembl:lncRNA